rnacentral:lncRNA from 1 species
AAGGGGACACAUGGCAUGAGGAGGGAGAACCUGUUUUCAGAAAGGAUGAAGAAAUUUUUAAGACUUGAUGAACACAAGAUGUGCAACAUUUCAGAGGUAUAACAAAAUUCUUUCUCUGAUGAAAGGAUAAAGGCAGAGUUGUCUGCUUAGCUAGCACCACCAGUCUCAGAGCCAGGCCAGACUUCUGCCAAUGACCCCGAGACUUGAAGGAGCCAGGCUCAAAGAGAAGCACCCAAAAGGAAAAUGGAAAUCUACUUUUCUUGACAUGUCUGUCAGCAAGCAGCAGAAGCACACCUUACCAGCAUGUGGAGGAAAAAUCAUGAAUGUUCCUGAUAACAACAAUGAAUAUUGCCCACGCGUGAUGUUUCAGAAUUCGAC